UGGUGUGAAUUGCAAAUCCCGCGAACCAUCGAGUUUUUGAACCCAAGUUUGCCCCCAAGGCAACCCGGCCAAGGGCACGCUUGCUUGGGCUUAACGCCUUGGGGUUGUUCGUCAAACCAAAUUCGGGGCACCUCGUGCUCUUGGGUGGCGGGCGGCGGAUGC
rnacentral:rRNA from 1 species